rnacentral:rRNA from 1 species
GAUGAACGCUAGCUACAGGCUUAACACAUGCAAGUCGAGGGGAAACGACAUCGAAAGCUUGCUUUUGAUGGGCGUCGACCGGCGCACGGGUGAGUAACGCGUAUCCAACCUGCCCAUCACUUGGGAAUAACCUUGCGAAAGUAAGACUAAUACCCAAUGACAUCCCACGAAGACAUCUGAAUGGGAUUAAAGGUUUAUCGGUGAUGGAUGGGGAUGCGUCUGAUUAGCUUGUUGGCGGGGUAACGGCCCACCAAGGCAACGAUCAGUAGGGGUUCUGAGAGGAAGGUCCCCCACAUUGGAACUGAGACACGGUCCAAACUCCUACGGGAGGCAGCAGUGAGGAAUAUUGGUCAAUGGGCGAGAGCCUGAACCAGCCAAGUAGCGUGCAGGAUGACGGCCCUAUGGGUUGUAAACUGCUUUUAUAAGGGAAUAAAGUGGGUCUCGUGAGACUUUUUGCAUGUACCUUAUGAAUAAGGACCGGCUAAUUCCGUG